GAUAAACGCUGGCGGCGUGCCUAACACAUGCAAGUCGAACGCUCUAUCGUCUUUCGGGACGGCAGAGAGUGGCGGACGGGUGAGGAACACGUGGGUGACCUACCUUUCAGUGAGGAAUACCGGCGAGAAAUCGCCGACAAGACCGCAUACGCUUGUCUGCUCAUGCAGGCAAGGAAAGCUGCUUCGCACGAGGUGGCGCUGGAAGAUGGGCCCGCGGCCGAUUAGCUAGCUGGUGGGGUAAUGGCCUACCAAGGCUACGACGGGUACCCGGCCUGAA
rnacentral:rRNA from 1 species